UCUUGGCCAUAUAUCAAAUUUAAGACCACCCUGGGCUAAUGAGAUCCUAUCUCAAAUUACAACAAAAUUCUCUGAUAAAAAUGUUUCAAUUUUGGUUAGCUAUGGUGGUUCAUGCUUUUAGAUUCAGCAGCUUGGGACGCUGGUGCAGGAUUACCGGCCUGGAUAAUUCAUCAAGACCACAGUUUAAAAAUAAGUUAUAGGUUUGUUUUUUAUAUUUAGUUUUUCAUAUAUUUGGAUUUUAAAAAUUAUUUUAUUUUAUCUGUAUAUAUCUGUAUGAGUGCAUGCCAUGUGUGUGACGGAGACCAGAAGAGGGCAUUAAAUUUCCUGGAGUUGUGAAGAGGCCUAACUUAACAUCAGUACAGCCACGACUGGCUGCAGACUAACAAUACUGUAACUAGGCCUCACCCUUACAAUAACCAGGAAAAACCAUAGACUGCACCCGGCAGGGGAAAAAUCAGAAUGGAGCCAAACAAAUACUAGAUACUCUAGAACAUUAAGAAUAGCUUACCUAACUUGUAUAUAGUUUGUCAAUUUCCUUACAGCAACGCCAGUACCAAUCCCUGUUUGAUAAGACUUCUGUUACUCACUCCUGCCCAAUCAGGAGUUCAACCCCCAUCUGACUCUGGAAUUCCCUUCCCAUCCUUUACUUCUUUAAAAAACCCUGCCAUAGAUGAGCUUAAGGCUCUCCAAUAUCCAACUUCUCAAGUCCUCUGCAAAAGCAGGAGGUGAUUUUUAAAGGGUUCAAUUCUAAUUUCUUCUUCAGUUGUGGAUCAUUGGCUAGUGUAAUAUGAUUUUGACUGUAUGGGGGUUUUGAUGGAAAGUUUGUCAUGUUGCCUUAAAUGUGCAUACACCUAGCUGUCCAAUCUGGUCCACGGGCGGGCUCACUAGUCCUUAGGCACUUGACAUGGUAUGUAAUACUGUGUCUGUUUGUUUUUUUAAGAGGUCUUGAUAUCAGUUCUUUAAACUAUCUUGGCUCUUUAAUCUUUCACAAGAUCUAAAGGUGCUACAGAAUAAGUCUAUUGGUACAUUGUUUGAAAUUUUAUUUUAUUUUUUUCGAGACAGGUUUUCUCUGUGUAGCUUUGGAGCCUAUCCUGGCACUCACUCUGUAGAACAGGGUGGCCUCGAACUCACAGAGAUCCACCUGCCUCUGCCUCCAAGUGCUGGGAUUAAAGGCGUGCGCCACCAACGCCUGGAGGAAUUCUAUUUUUAAUAUUGGAUUUUUGGUCAAUGGAUAUGGUAUGUUUGUUUCUUUAUUUCAUUUAUGUCUGUUUUUUUUUUUUUUCCUUGUUACUGCCUUGCCUUUUUGAGAUAGUUUCACUAUAUAGACCAGGUUGGUCUCAGACUUGGGCUUCUACUUUCAGUCUUCCAAAGGCUGGAGUUACAAGUCCCUGUUCUGUAGAUUCUUAUGGUCUCUUUGUGCUACAUCCUUGCAAACAUAAUUUCCUUUUCUGUAUGUUUCUUGGUUAUAAUUAUCCAGUAAUUUACUGACUAUCUUGAGAAUAGAAGUGCAGUCAAAGUGAACAUGUGCUAGUUCAUUUUUUUGUUUGUUUUUUGUUUGCUGCCAACUUGACACAGCAUUCUGAGAAGAGGAACCUCAAUUGAGAAACUUCUGCCACCAGAUUGGCCUGUGGCUGUGACCCCUUACGUCCUGAUGAAGACCUAGUUGCUACCAAACGGAAGAGGAGCUGUGGAUUUCCCUUGGCUCCACCAUCACUAGUCUGUGGAGUACCUCAGCCGCAUGCUGGCAGCUCAAUGCUUGGGUCUGUCACACAUCUCCUCAAGUAGCUUUGACAUAACAAGAUGACAUCUUCUAAUUCCUAAAGCUGAGAUGUGGGGAGAAAGCAGUUUCCAUCACUUGGUAUUUUCCUCGGCUCGGGGAGGAAUUCUUCCCAGGACUUUCAAGCCCCUCCACCAUCCCUCGUCCCGAGUUUUUCUGUGAAGAGAAGGAAUUACUUCAGGUCACUAGCUUAUGUCAAGACAUUGCAGCUCGUCUGUCCACCAAGGCAAAGCACGUGCUGGGCCUUAGGCAAAGAUAGACCUUAACAGUGCCACUCUCAGAGGGCGCUCAGGGAGCUCCAUACUCAAUUUUCAACUCUGGCCCUGGUGUUAUGAAUGCAGCCUGUGUGAGCUUUGUGGAAACUUCAGAAGUUAUUCGGAGACUCUAAGGGAUGUAAUGAAAGACCCCUGCCCCUUAGCCCUUUCUUUCUCAAGUUUGCCUCCUCCUCCGGUCGGCGGCUUCCCGGAUCCCCACCCCCCGCCGGCCUCCACUCCC